GGACUUAUGAGGAGGGUAGUGGUGACCUAUAAUAACUGGAGUCCCAGAAUUCAAAACCAGAUACUGAAACAGGAGAAGGAACACAGCUUUGAAGAAAACCAUAUCAAGCCGAAGAACAAUACUACAGUGGAAAUGACCUAGUUAGUUCAUACAUCAUAGCUACACAAAAGAAGAGAGAUUCUCUCAACCAAUGAAAUCGAGAAGUGAUGGCACAACACGAUUGACGGCGGAUGCAUGGCGGUGGCUGAAACUAGAACAAAAACUGAAAGAAGAGUUUAGAGGAAAAAGGAGAGAGAGACGUGCAGAGGAAGCUUACUGACAACGACAACCAGCAAGCGACGUGGCUGGCGAUCGACGAACUAGCAGUGGUACAGCGAAGGAAUUGAAGGAAAGGAGAAUAAAUUGAAGCAAAAAUGAAAACUAAUAUACUUCUAAAUGAUGAAAUUAUUUGACGUUGGAUUUUGCGAGAGGAGGAAGAAAUCGAAUAAAAAAGGAAGAAAAAUCCCUUAAAUCGAAUAAAAAAUUGUAAAGAGGAGAAACUUACGCUGGAACUAUAAGAGAAAAAAAGGGAGAGGAACGUGGACAAUUUUGAAAUAAAUAUAAACCAAAUUUUAGAUU